rnacentral:rRNA from 1 species
CCUACGGGGAGCAGCAGUCGAGAAUCAUUCACAAUGGGGGAAACCCUGAUGGUGCGACGCCGCGUGGGGGAAUGAAGGUCUUCGGAUUGUAAACCCCUGUCAUGUGGGAGCAAAUUAAAAAGAUAGUACCACAAGAGGAAGAGACGGCUAACUCUGUGCCAGCAGCCGCGGUAAUACAGAGGUCUCAAGCGUUGUUCGGAAUCACUGGGCGUAAAGCGUGCGUAGGCGGUUUCGUAAGUCGUGUGUGAAAGUCGCGGGCUCAACCCGCGGACGGCACAUGAUACUGGGAGACUAGAGUAAGGGAGGGGGAACCGGAAUUCUCGGUGUAGCAGUGAAAUGCGUAGAUAUCGAGAGGAACACUCGUGGCGAAGGCGGGUUCCUGGACAUUAACUGACGCUGAGGCACGAAGGCCAGGGGAGCGAAAGGGAUUAGAUACCCCAGUAGUC